UACGGAGGGUGCGAGCGUUGUCCGGAAUCAUUGGGCGUAAAGGGCGCGUAGGUGGCGGGACAAGCGUGCGGUGAAAGCCUGGGGCUCAACCCCGGGUCGGCCGUGCGAACUGUUUUGCUUGAGCAUGGUAGAGGCUGGCGGAAUUCCCGGUGUAGCGGUGGAAUGCGUAGAGAUCGGGAAGAACAUCGGUGGCGAAGGCGGCCAGCUGGGCCAUUGCUGACGCUGAGGCGCGACAGCGUGGGGAGCAAACAGG
rnacentral:rRNA from 1 species